rnacentral:ncRNA from 2 species
AACAUAGACGUUCGUCUUGGUGCCCCGAGAGGGGUUAAAAGGGAAGAGGGUGAGAAUCCCUCGCUGUCCCGCAACUGUGAACGGAGAUGAAAGCCGCAACAACGCCACUGAUCGCAUCGGGAAGGCGCGGCGAGUAAGACGACCCGUGAGUCAGGAAACCUGCCAGGAUGAGAAGCUUUAU